AAAUUGAAGAGUUUGAUCAUGGCUCAGAUUGAACGCUGGCGGCAGGCCUAACACAUGCAAGUCGAACGGUAACAGGAAGAAGCUUGCUUCUUUGCUGACGAGUGGCGGACGGGUGAGUAAUGUCUGGGAAACUGCC
rnacentral:rRNA from 2 species